AUGGACGAAAGUCUGACCGAGCAACGCCGCGUGAGUGAAGAAGGUUUUCGGAUCGUAAAGCUCUGUUGUAAGUCAAGAACGUGUGUGAGAGUGGAAAGUUCACACAGUGACGGUAGCUUACCAGAAAGGGACGGCUAACUACGUGCCAGCAGCCGCGGUAAUACGUAGGUCCCGAGCGUUGUCCGGAUUUAUUGGGCGUAAAGGGAGCGCAGGCGGUCAGGAAAGUCUGGAGUAAAAGGCUAUGGCUCAACCAUAGUGUGCUCUGGAAACUGUCUGACUUGAGUGCAGAAGGGGAGAGUGGAAUUCCAUGUGUAGCGGUGAAAUGCGUAGAUAUAUGGAGGAACACCAGUGGCGAAAGCGGCUCUCUGGUCUGUCACUGACGCUGAGGCUCGAAAGCGUGGGUAGCGAACAGGAUUAGAUACCCUGGUAGUCCACGCCGUAAACGAUGAGUGCUAGGUGUUAGGCCCUUUCCGGGGCUUAGUGCCGGAGCUAACGCAAUAAGCACUCCGCCUGGGGAGUACGACCGCAAGGUUGAAACUCAAAGGAAUUGACGGGGGCCCGCACAAGCGGUGGAGCAUGUGGUU
rnacentral:rRNA from 1 species